GAGAAAAAGCAGAAGUUCCCGCUUCUCGCCUAAGUCCUUGGACCGCUAGGCUCAUUAGUUCGGUAUUUAAUGAACAGCGGGGUCUUUGUGGCCACGCUGUUUUUGUUUUUU
rnacentral:sRNA from 1 species